rnacentral:rRNA from 1 species
GUCUACGGCCAUGCCACCCUGAAUGAACCCAAUCUCGUCUGAUCUCGGAAACUAAGCAGGAUCAGGCCUGGUUAGCACUUGGAUGGAAGACCACCUAGGAAUACUAGGUGCUGUAGGCA